UUGAGGAGAAGGGGGAUUGGGAAAUAUGGACAAAUCUGAAGUUGUUAUGGUCGGGCCGAGCUGUUGUGGUGGGGAUGAGGGUUGCUGUGUUGCCGGGGAUGUUGCUUUUGUGUCAAAAAGUGCAAGUUUUGGAUGGGAGGGAUUGUUUCAGGAGGUGGCAGAGGGAUGUUCCUGGAUUUGUUUGGCAGGGCAGGAAGCCUCGAGUAAAACUUAAGAUAUUGAGGGAUGCUAAAGAAGGAGGUGGACCUGCCCUGUCAGACACCUAAACUUUGUUGUGAAUCAUCUGCUUUUUGCUGGCUGAGAGAAUGGCUGUCUCUUAAAAGCACUUAAGUGUUGGAUAAUGGCAGAUGAAGUUGAUGGACUAGACGGAAUUGGCGGAAAAGACUGGCAAGAUCCGAGACCAGGGAGAAGAGUCGGUGGAAGAAGACUGGGAAAAUUAUAUGGCUUUAGUAGAAAUGUUAUAAGGAAUUAAGUAUAAAUAGAUUAAUAGAGUAUUAAAGGAAAAUAAGGUUAAAAGAUGUUAAGAUAAUUAUAGGAUAGAAAACGGGAAGAUGGUAAGGAAUUGCUGAAAUAAUUAAUAGAAGUGGAAUACAAAAAGGGAGGUGUGAGGAGGCCGUGGAAAUAUGGGAAAGAAAGAUAAGAUAUUGGAAGUUUUUUCUUUUUUCUUCUUUUUUUUUCUUCUUCUAUCUUUUGAUGUGUUUUUAAAUUGUUUCUGUUUUGUUUUGUUAAUUUUUAUGUAGUGUAUUAUAAUGUAUUGUGUAUUGUUUUUUCUUUUGUAAGUGUUUAAAUGGUUGUAAAAGCAAUAAAUAUUAUUUAUUUA